UACAGAGGUCUCAAGCGUUGUUCGGAUUCAUUGGGCGUAAAGGGUGCGUAGGCGGCGCGGUAAGUCGGGUGUGAAAUCUCGGAGCUUAACUCCGAAACUGCAUUCGAUACUGCCGUGCUUGAGGACUGGAGAGGAGACUGGAAUUUACGGUGUAGCGGUGAAAUGCGUAGAGAUCCGGAAGAACACCGGUGGCGAAGGCGGCUCGCUGGGCAGUGGCUGACGCUGAGGCGCGACAGCGUGGGGAGCAAACAGG
rnacentral:rRNA from 1 species